AGAACGAACGCUGGCGGCAUGCCUAACACAUGCAAGUCGAACGAGACCUUCGGGUCUAGUGGCGCACGGGUGCGUAACGCGUGGGAAUCUGCCCUUAGGUUCGGAAUAACAGUUAGAAAUGACUGCUAAUACCGGAUAAUGACGUAAGUCCAAAGAUUUAUCGCCUAGGGAUGAGCCCGCGUAGGAUUAGCUAGUUGGUGGGGUAAAAGCCUACCAAGGCGACGAUCCUUAGCUGGUCUGAGAGGAUGAUCAGCCACACUGGGACUGAGACACGGCCCAGACUCCUACGGGAGCAGCAGUGGGGAAUAUUGGAUAAUGGGCGAAAGCCUGAUCCAGCAAUGCCGCGUGAGUGAUGAAGGCCUUAGGUGUAAAGCUCUUUUACCCGGGAUGAUAAUGACAGUACCGGAGAAUAAGCUCCGGCUAACUCCGCGCCAGCAGCCGC
rnacentral:rRNA from 1 species